rnacentral:rRNA from 1 species
UACGGAGGAACCAAGCGUUAUCCGGAAUCAUUGGGUUUAAAGGGUCCGUAGGCGGUUUUGUAAGUCAGUGGUGAAAGCCCAUCGCUCAACGGUGGAACGGCCAUUGAUACUGCAAGACUUGAAUUAUUAGGAAGUAACUAGAAUAUGUAGUGUAGCGGUGAAAUGCUUAGAGAUUACAUGGAAUACCAAUUGCGAAGGCAGGUUACUACUAAUAUAUUGACGCUGAUGGACGAAAGCGUGGGGAGCGAACAGG